GGAAAUACCUGUAAUCGGGCGAAGAGGUCUCGAAAACCGUUGAGCCCUUCGCGGGGCUCCGUGGGUUCGAAUCCCACCCUCUCCGCCA
rnacentral:tRNA from 1 species